rnacentral:rRNA from 1 species
GACGAACGCUGGCGGCGUGCUUAACACAUGCGAGUCGAACGGUAAGGCCCUUCGGGGUACACGAGUGGCGAACGGGUGAGUAACACGUGGGUGAUCUGCCCUGCACUUCGGGAUAAGCCUGGGAAACUGGGUCUAAUACCGGAUAGGACUCCUGGCUUCAUGGUUGGGGGUGGAAAUCUUUUGCGGUGUGGGCUGGGCCCGCGGCCUAUCAGCUUGUUGGUGGGGUAAUGGCCUACCAAGGCGACGACGGGUAGCCGGCCUGAGAGGGUGACCGGUCACACUGGGACUGGGAUACGGCCCAGACUCCUACGGGAGGCAGCAGUGGGGAAUAUUGCACAAUGGGCGCAAGCCUGAUGCAGCGACGCCGCGUGAGGGAUGACGGCCUUCGGGUUGUAAACCUCUUUCAGCUAUGACGAAGCGCAAGUGACGGUAGUAGCAGAAGAAGGACCGGCCAACUACGUGCCAGCAGCCGCGGUAACAC